CAGUAGCCACGGUAAAACGGAGGGGGCUAGCGUUGUUCGGAAUUACUGGGCGUAAAGCGCACGUAGGCGGCUUGGUAAGUUAGAGGUGAAAGCCCGGAGCUCGACUCCGGAAUUGCCUUUAAGACUGCCGAGCUAGUAGGUGAGAGAGGUAAGUGGAAUUCCGAGUGUAGAGGUGAAAUUCGUAGAUAUUCGGAAGAACACCAGUGGCGAAGGCGGCUUACUGGCUCAUUCUAGACGCUGAGGUGCGAAAGCGUGGGGAGCAAACAGGAUUAGAUACCCCCGUAGUCCCUGUCUCUUAUAC
rnacentral:rRNA from 1 species